rnacentral:lncRNA from 1 species
AUGUCCACAGAGACUGACAGCAACUGCCCCAUCUGCCAGGACACUUUUAAGGAUGUGGCUUCUACUUUGCCCUGUCACCACCAGUUUUGUCUGGGCUGUAUCCUGCGGUGGACACAGAGAAAUCCAGUGUGCCCACUCUGCAGAGGAGCAAUAGUGACUGUGCGAUUUUCUGAUCAUGGAGAAGACGACUAUCUGGAGAUACCCAUCACAGUCCCUGAGGAGCUGCCAGAUGGCAGCAGCCAGGCAGAGAGAGCUCCUGGCUCUCUGGAUGAGAACAGCUCCCAUCCUCCUGUGGUGUCCCCUUCAUCUUCUCCACAGGGGACAGUGUCUCCAGCAGAGCAGGAAGGUUCAGGGCUGGAGUUUGCGGGGAGUGUCCUGCCUGAGGUCUGGGCAGAAACUUUCCGUCAACAACAGCAUCUUCUGGACUCUGUGCGGCCCUGGCUGCAUGAGAGGCUGGCAGGAAUAUACCAGGGCUGGUGGUGGGUGGUAGAUGCCAUAGAGAGCAGCAUCUUGCAUGGCCUUUGCAUCCACGGGCCAAAUGCUGGGGUUCUGGUUGAGGUGCUGCAGCCUCUCCUCGAGGAACACACAGCACCACUGGUCCAUGAUGUCAUCAGCAUCAUAAUAGGCCAGCACCGUGAGGAGGCCCAGAGGCUUCUGCACACAGAAGAUGGGAACAAUGGCCCUGAGGCCAGCUCCAGCUCCAGCUCCACCAGUUCCAGCUCCAGCUCCAGCUCCAGCAAUUCCAGGAUCUCCAGCUCCAGCAACUCUAGGAGUUCCAGCUUCAGCAGCAACAGCUGCAGCUCCAGCUCCAACAGCUGCAGCUCCAGCUUCAGCAGCAACAGCUGCAGCUCCAACAGCUGCAGCUCCAGCUCCAACAGCUGCAGCUCCAGCUUCAGCAGCAACAGCUGCAGCUCCAGCAGUUCCCAGCAAGGGACUCCCGACAGCAGCCCCACAGGCUCCGAUGAGGAGGAGGAAGCUGGUGCAUCAGAGGCUUCCCCCUGCCCAGGGCAUCAAUUGCAUCUGCUCCCAGGGUAG